UUAAGCAUAUCAAUAAGCGGAGGAAAAGAAACCAACAGGGAUUGCCCUAGUAACGGCGAGUGAAGCGGCAACAGCUCAAAUUUGAAAUCUGGCCUCGGCCCGAGUUGUAAUUUGCAGAGGAUGCUUCUGGCGCGGUGCCCUCCGAGUUCCCUGGAACGGGACGCCACAGAGGGUGAGAGCCCCGUAUGGUCGGACACCAAGCCUGUGUGAAGCUCCUUCGACGAGUCGAGUAGUUUGGGAAUGCUGCUCUAAAUGGGAGGUAAAUCUCUUCUAAAGCUAAAUACCGGCCAGAGACCGAUAGCGCACAAGUAGAGUGAUCGAAAGAUGAAAAGCACCUUGAAAAGGGGGUUAAAUAGUACGUGAAAUUGUUGAAAGGGAAGCACUUGUGACCAGACUUGGGCCGGGCGGCUCAUCAGGGGUUCUCCCCUGUGCACUCCGCCCGGCACAGGCCAGCAUCGGUCUUCGCGGGGGGACAAGACCGCCGGGAACGUAGCACCCUCCGGGGUGUGUUAUAGCCCGGCGGACGAUACCCCCGCGGGGACCGAGGUCCGCGCUCCGCAAGGAUGCUGGCGUAAUGGUCACCAGUGACCCGUCUUGAAACACGGACCAAGGAGUCGUCCAUUAGAGCGAGCGUUUGGGUGUCAAACCCGCACGCGUAAUGAAAGUGAACGCAGGUGAGAGCUUCGGCGCAUCAUCGACCGAUCCUGAUGUUCUCGGAAGGAUUUGAGUAAGAGUUUUAACGGACGGACCCGAAAGACAGUGAACUAUGCUUGUAUAGGGUGAAGCCAGAGGAAACUCUGGUGGAAGCUCGCAGCGGUUCUGACGUGCAAAUCGAUCGUCAAAUAUGAGCAUGGGGGCGAAAGACUAAUCGAACUGUCUAGUAGCUGGUUACCGC
rnacentral:rRNA from 1 species